rnacentral:tRNA from 1 species
GCCAGCAUGGUGUAGUGGUUUGAGUGUUGGACUAUGACUCUAGGGACCAGGGUUUGAAUCCCUGUUCACCCA